AAGAGGUCAGCCCCGCCCUUUUCUCUAUUUUCAGUCAGAAACAAAAGUGUUCAUAUUGAGCUGAAAUUAAGCAUACACAUUCUACAAGUGAUCCCCUUUAAUUUGGACGUGUGAAAAGGGACAGGAAGAACAACAUUCGAAAUUUGGCCUUGGAAGAUGCCAAUAGUCAGAAAACAAGUGCCAAUACUGACCUGAUACUAGGCACACACACCCUAUAAGUGAUGCUCUUGAAUUUGCAGGUGUGCAAAAAGACAGGAAGAAGAACAUUCGAAAUUUAGCCUUUGAAGAUGCCUCAAGGUCUUGCCCUUUUCUCCAUUUUCAGCCAGGAAACAGAAGUGCCCACACCAGGUGUGCAAAGAGACACGUAAAAGAACAUUCGAAAUUUGGCCACUGAAGAUGCGAAGAGGUGUGCAUAGAGACAGGUAAAAGAACAUUCGAAAUUUGGCCCUUGAAGAUGCCAAUCCCGAAAACAGAAGUGCCCAUACUGAGCUCAGAUUAGCACACAUAGAAUAUAAGCGAUGCAGCUUUAAUUUGCAGGUGUGCAAACAGACAAGUCGAAGAACAUUCGAAACAAACUGGGCCUCAGAAGAUGCCAAGAGGUGUGGAAAGGGACAGGCAGAAAAACUUUCAAAUUUGGCCUUUGAAGACUCUUUCAGCAUCUUCAGCCAGAAAACAAAAGUGCCCGUAGUGACCUCGAAUUAGGCACACACAGAAUAUACGUGAUGCUCUGAAUUUGAAGGCGUACAAAGAGACAGUCAGAAAACAAAGGUGCCCAUACUGUUCUCAAGCUAUACACACACAGAAUGAGCCUAAAGGUACAGGUAAAAGGACAUUUGAAGUUUGGCAUUUGAGGAUGGCGAGAGGUUAGGCUUUCCGUUUUCUCCAUUUUCAGCCAGAGAACAAAAGCGCCCAUACUGUGCACAAAUUAAGCACACGCCCAAUAAGUGAUGCUCUUGAAUUUGCAGGCGUCCGAAGGGACAGGUAACAGAGCAUUCGAAAUUUGGCCUUUGAAGAUGAGAAGAGGUUAG